rnacentral:snRNA from 1 species
GUACUCACUUCAGCAGCACAUAUGCUAAAAUAUAAGCAACAGAGAAAAUAAUAUCAUGGCCUCCAUAUAAAGAUGAUACACAAAUGUAUAAAGUGUUCCAUAUUGUG